UUGAACGCUGGCGGCGUGCUUAGCACAUGCAAGUCGAGCGGUAAGGCCCUUUCGGGGGUACGACGAGCGGCGAACGGGUGGAGUAACACGUGGGUGACCUGCCCUCCAGCUCUGGGAGUAAGCCGUGGGAAACCGGGGUCUAAUACUGGAUAUGACUCCAUGACGCAUGUUGUGGGGUGGAAAGCCUUGUGCGGCUGAGGAUGGGCCCGCGGCCUAUCAGCUUGUUGGUGGGGGGAUGGCCUACC
rnacentral:rRNA from 1 species